AGGUAACUUAUUCACUGUGCGAGUGUUGUGUUUGAAAAUCCCACGGUUGAAUAAGGUACCAUA
rnacentral:pre_miRNA from 1 species